GCCGCCGCGGUAACACCAGCUCCACGAGUGGUGGGGAUGUUUAUUUGGCCUAAAGCGUCCGUAGCCGGCUCUGUAAAUCUCUCGUUAAAUCCAGCGUCUCAAGCGUUGGGCUGCGAGGGAGACUGCCGAGCUAGAGGGUGGGAGAGGUCAGCGGUAUUUCUGGGGUAGGGGCGAAAUCCAUUGAUCCCAGGAGGACCACCAGUGGCGAAGGCUGCUGACUAGAACACGCCUGACGGUCAGGGACGAAAGCUGGGGUAGCGAAUCGGAUUAGAUACCCGAGUAGUCCCAGCCGUAAACGAUGCAGGCUAGGUGUUGGGGCAGCCACGUGCUGCCUCAGUGCCACAGGGAAGCCAUUAAGCCUGCCGCCUGGGGAGUACGGCCGCAAGGCUGAAACUUAAAGGAAUUGGCGGGGGAGCACCACCAGGCGUGAAGCCUGCGGUUUAAUUGGAGUCACGCCCGGAACCUUACCGGGAGCGACAGUAGAGUGAAAGCCAGUUGA
rnacentral:rRNA from 1 species